AUCAUAAUAAUAUUUUCAUCUGUUUGGCUACAAUCACCAGCUAUUUGCUCUAUUUUGUGCAUGCAAGCAUUUAUUAUUCUCAUUUUUCUUUUCUAUACCAAUCCAUUAACUCUUGUUUGUUUGGAGAAGUCGUGCUCUAUAAACUGCAUAGGUUGUAGACUAUGCGCCUUUGACUAUCACCUUCGAACACCUCAACUAUCUUGAACAACAUGUUUCAAGACCAGUUUAACACCUACAUCACAUUGCAUUAGUUCACUCUGACGUCGAUGGUUUCUUCGGCAUUCCUUGUCAUUGCUAGAGGUUACAUCAUCACCAUCAUCAAUCAACGAGCUUUAUAUUGCUCCGCGACCUGUCUUAAGGGCAUGUUUGGAUACACCCUCAUAAACUUUAGGACACUCAUAAAGUUUAGGAGCUAGAAAUUGAUAUUCCUAAAAUUUAUGAGUGGGCUGUUUGGAUGGAAUCAUAAUCUUUAGGAUGUUAGAGGGGAAAUGACUUUUGUACCCCUAAUUACUCCAUCCCUGCUCCGUUUCUAGCGUCGUGGAGAGAGAAGGGAGGGGCAAGAGGGGUAAAUGAUGGGUUGGGGACCACUUUUAGGAGAAAAAUAAACCAUUAUGAUGGUUUGGUCCUCCUAAUGAAAAGAGCACUCCUAAACAUUAUGAAUGCACUUUUAUGACAUAUGUUUGGAUGCACAAGUCAUAAAAGUGGACUAAAAGUGAAAUCCUAAAGAUUAUGAGUGUGUAUCCAAACAGGCCCUAAGCCGCAAGCUAAACCUACGGGUUCCUAACAUGGUGGAGUAAGAAACAUGUGUAUACUCCCCUAAUGACACUUAUCUCCAUCAACUUUUGCUUCCAUAAUACGGGUUACAGGGCCUCUCUUUUUUGUUGCAACCACUUCGGUCAUAACAAUCUGCUGGCUUUCUCUUUUUCGUUGCACUACUGCCUUCCAACAUCG
rnacentral:lncRNA from 1 species